UACGUAGGGUGCAAGCGUUAAUCGGAAUUACUGGGCGUAAAGCGUGCGCAGGCGGUUGUGCAAGACAGAUGUGAAAUCCCCGGGCUCAACCUGGGAAUUGCAUUUGUGACUGCACGGCUAGAGUGUGUCAGAGGGGGGUAGAAUUCCACGUGUAGCAGUGAAAAUGCGUAGAGAUGUGGAGGAAUACCGAUGGCGAAGGCAGCCCCCCUGGGUCAAUACUGACGCUCAUGCACGAAAGCGUGGGGAGCAAACAGG
rnacentral:rRNA from 1 species